CCAGAGGGCCGGGCGGCCGCGUCACGCGAUCUGCGUGCCGAGGAAAGUCCGGGCUCCACGGAAACACGGUGGCGGGUAACGCCCGCCGGCCAAGGGCGCGAGCCCGCGGUCAGGGACAGUGCAACAGAGAGCAGACGGCCAGGGCUUCGGCCCGGUCAUGGUGAAAGGGUGCGGUAAGAGCGCACCGCGCGGCCGGUAACGGCCGUGGCACGGUAAACCCCACCGGGAGCAAGACCGAAUAGGGGCGGCAUGGCGGCGUUCCGCGUCGUCGGGGUGUGUUCCCACCCGCUGCCCGGGUUGGUUGCUGGAGCGCGUCGGCAACGGCGCGCCGAGAGGAAUGGUCGCCUAUCCCCUUCAUGGGGUGGACAGAACCCGGCUUACAGGCCCUCUGGCAAA
rnacentral:RNase_P_RNA from 2 species